UGUCAACUACGUCAUUAAUAAAUAUCUAUAACCCGGCUGUUAUUUUUAUUCAUACGCUUGAAUGGUUGACGAUCGCGGUCACUUUCAGUUUUGAACAUGCAAUCAAUAAUGGAUAGAUAUGACAAUGAUACUGCCAGUGUCACUGAUAAGGAUGCGGACAGCCUGUGUCAUAAUAUUAUAUGUAUAGUUGUUGGUGUUGUUGUCGUCUGGAUCGUAUCUAACACGGCUAUGUAAACAAAUCGUUACGAAGCAGAUAUGUAUCUCUCACACGCAUUCGCACAUUCUCUUUCGUACUGUUUUCGUUUUAUUUAAAAAAAUAAUAACAAUUCAAUUCUCGUUGUUUUUGCCGUA